rnacentral:rRNA from 1 species
GUAGGGUGCGAGCGUUGUCCGGAAUUAUUGGGCGUAAAGAGCUCGUAGGCGGUUUGUCGCGUCGACUGUGAAAACCUGGGGCUUAACUCUGGGCCUGCAGUCGAUACGGGCAGACUUGAGUUCGGUAGGGGAGACUGGAAUUCCUGGUGUAGCGGUGAAAUGCGCAGAUAUCAGGAGGAACACCGGUGGCGAAGGCGGGUCUCUGGGCCGAUACUGACGCUGAGGAGCGAAAGCGUGGGGAGCGAACAGGAUUAGAUACCCUGGUAGUCCACGCUGUAAACGUUGGGCGCUAGGUGUGGGGAGCAUUCAUGUUUUCCGUGCCGUAGCUAACGCAUUAAGCGCCCCGCCUGGGGAGUACGGCCGCAAGGCUA